UCAUGGCACUGUGAAUCUGCCCACACAACUGCAAUAAAUCUCCUUGCCCCAGGACACUCUGGCUUUUCUCUGCUUGCACAAUGCAACCAUCCAUUAGAGGAAGGGCUGCAACAGAUGGGCUCUCCCUUCUCCAGAAACAAGGCUGGAGAGAGAAGCUGCUGUUCCAGGGCAGGAAUUCCCACCAUCGCCAGCCUUGGCAAGCUGCUUCUUUCCCUGUUUCUCAGUUAAUGAAAUCAGCACACUUCUGGUACCUUCACCUGAGACAAACUGUAACAGGCAAAAGAAAAGCUACAUGGCAGGAUGACAAACAUGUUCACCUCCUGCUCCUCUGCACUAAAACACUCUCGCUCGGUGACAAGACCACAGCUGUUGCCAUCGUUUCCUUACCUGCAGAGUGCAAUAUUUAGCUGGAGGGACACUGAAGUUUUUCUGUUUGUUAGUUAUCAUGUCAACAACUCUCACCUUAUCACUUCAGUUUCCAUUCUGUUGAUAAAACCUGUCAGCCUUCCUUGAGUGGUUCCAGGCCCUCAGAAGAAAUCACAUUAAAUUGGCACAACCAAGUAAAUCUGGAAGGGAUGUGCUCCUGGCUUACCAAAGGAAAUGGGGGAGGGCUUGAAUUUCUCUCCCUCUUCCUCCCUGCACAGCUCCAAUGUCCAAGUGCUUGGAGCAGUGUUGAAAUCCUCCCUACGGACUCAGCAGUUCAAGUCAGAUCAGGUCUUUGAAUAUGGCCCAGAGGAGACAUCUGUGGAGCCGAAAUUGAUAUGUUUAAGUGCAAGAGACAAUAAUCAUUUCUUCAAGUAUAAGCUAAAAAUACCCGGAAAAAAAUGGAAUUCAUAAUGGAGAUUUUAAAGAUCUGUGACACACCAGAGCCUGCACAAGGGUUUUAAUGAGAGAGAAGCCAAUUUAAUUGGUCAGUGCGAGCAGAUGCUUUGCUGGGUGAGUGGGCUACGAGGUCUCACAGCCCUGGUUAACGCCAGGAGCAUCAGCACUGUCCUCAACAUGGCUGUGACAAGCCCGUGUCACAGCAGCGCAGUGUCAGAGCCAGGGAACCUCGGUAAUCAACGUCUCCACGGUGUCAGAUCACAGAGCCACGGGGAGAAAGCACUAAAAGGAGAAGGCAAAAGCCGACAAAGGAACAUUCCUGAAGGUAAUUGCAGGACUGACCAUCUCCUCUUGUCGUUUGCUUCAUUAUCACUCUGGGCAUGAAGCUGAACCAGCCUGUUAAGUUUUAACGCUGUGUUAACAGGGAGCUGCCGAGCACCAGGGCUGAGGUUUACAGGCCUCCCCUGUGAAAACUCUUCUGCAGUGUGUGUCACCGGCCUAGGAAAGCCAGGAAUAACUUCCGUGGCCCGUUCAAUUACAGACACUCACACCCAGCUCCCUCUCCUCGUGGCACGGCUCAUCAAUCAGGGCUUCUGUCACCGUGUCUCUUCUCAUCGCAGUCACCAGAAGGCUCUGAGCUCCCUCCCAGUCCGUGCGACAUUUACUGUCAGGGGCUGUCAACACCAAGAGAUUCUCCCAGGGCCUCCGAGUUCAUCACAAAGCAACAAGAUCUAUCCCCCAAACGCGCUCCCAGUUCCAGCUCUGGAUUACAGUGACUGACUGAGGGGCUUUGCAGCACUCGGGGAAGAGUGAAACAGCAGCACGAGCUGCAGCUUAUGCCCAAAUACUUUUGUUUUCUUAUUCUCUUGUUAGAAAAAUACAACUGCUUUAAGAGAGGUUUCAGGCUAAUGAUUAAUUAAGCUUCCUCAACACCAUCCCUUAUAAACUUAUUAAGAGAAAGCUGAGAUUGUUUACUUAGAAAUUUAGCCUUCCCAUCUUUAGCAUUGAUCCUGCCUUCACUCUCUGUUUAACAACACAGUGACCUAGUGGAAAAAAUUUAUAAAACUUAAUAAAUUGCAGUAAGCAAUAUUGACAGAGUGUGUAUAUGCACAUUUGGGUUUGUAUGAACAUAUUAUAAGAAAUCUAAUAAAGUAAAACAAACACAUUUGCUUUGUCUGUGAGCUGUGAAACAAGAUCCCUGUAAUUACAAUGUUAGAAGCAUAGUUGGUCAAAGGGGUAUGGUGAGAUUUUUGGCCAUAUAUUUCUGGUUCGAGAUUAAAAAACAACUAUUGUUUAUCGAGGGUUACAUGUUGCACAAAACUGCUUUGCUCAAAACGCAGAAAAAUAAAAAUGUACAUGAAAACCCAAAUUAGCAGAAGACCUCUAUGAGACCAGAGGAACCAGUACCCAGAGAAUAAAGUUCCAGUGGCAAAUGUGCCUCGAAGAAACAAUGGAGGACUUGGAGAUAUGUUCAUUUUAUCUGAACUUUAAGGAGGAAUGGGCCUUAAUGAGUGUUUAAACCAGUGACUGAAAGAGUGCUUUCAAUUGCAAGGUUUUUAAAAGACUAUAGAAUGUAUAUAACCUUCUAGAACUUUGAUGUCUAUUUUUAACUGGCUUUCUACAACUAGCCUGGUUUCCUCUUCCAACCAAAAUAAACAUAUUUCUUAAGGA